UACGGUGGGGGCUAGCGUUGUUCGGAAUUACUGGGCGUAAAGCGCACGUAGGCGGACCGGAAAGUCAGAGGUGAAAUCCCAGGGCUCAACCUUGGAACGGCCUUUGAAACUCCUGGUCUUGAGUUCGAGAGAGGUGAGUGGAAUUCCGAGUGUAGAGGUGAAAUUCGUAGAUAUUCGGAGGAACACCAGUGGCGAAGGCGGCUCACUGGCUCGAUACUGACGCUGAGGUGCGAAAGCGUGGGGAGCAAACAGG
rnacentral:rRNA from 1 species